rnacentral:rRNA from 1 species
UGGGGAAUAUUGGACAAUGGGCGAAAGCCUGAUCCAGCCAUGCCGCGUGAGUGAUGAAGGCCUUAGGGUUGUAAAGCUCUUUUGCCGGGGACGAUAAUGACGGUACCCGGAGAAUAAGUCCCGGCUAACUUCGUGCCAGCAGCCGCGGUAAUACGAAGGGGACUAGCGUUGUUCGGAAUCACUGGGCGUAAAGCGCACGUAGGCGGAUUCGUAAGUUAGGGGUGAAAUCCCGGGGCUCAACCUCGGAACUGCCUUUGAUACUGCGGGUCUCGAGUCCGAUAGAGGUGGGUGGAAUUCCUAGUGUAGAGGUGAAAUUCGUAGAUAUUAGGAAGAACACCGGUGGCGAAGGCGGCCCACUGGAUCGGCACUGACGCUGAGGUGCGAAAGCGUGGGGAGCAAACA